rnacentral:rRNA from 1 species
GGACGAACGCUGGCGGCGUGCCUAAUACAUGCAAGUCGAACGAAGCUUUCUUUCACCGAAUGCUUGCAUUCACCGAAAGAAGCUUAGUGGCGAACGGGUGAGUAACACGUAGGCAACCUGCCCAAAAGAGGGGGAUAACACUUGGAAACAGGUGCUAAUACCGCAUAACCAUGAACACCGCAUGAUGUUCAUGUAAAAGACGGCUUUUGCUGUCACUUUUGGAUGGGCCUGCGGCGUAUUAACUUGUUGGUGGGGUAACGGCCUACCAAGGUGAUGAUACGUAGCCGAACUGAGAGGUUGAUCGGCCACAUUGGGACUGAGACACGGCCCAAACUCCUACGGGAGGCAGCAGUAGGGAAUCUUCCACAAUGGACGAAAGUCUGAUGGAGCAACGCCGCGUGAAUGAAGAAGGCCUUCGGGUCGUAAAAUUCUGUUGUCAGAGAAGAACGUGCGUGAGAGUAACUGUUCACGUAUUGACGGUAUCUGACCAGAAAGCCACGGCUAACUACGUGCCAGCAGCCGCGGUAAUACGUAGGUGGCAAGCGUUGUCCGGAUUUAUUGGGCGUAAAGGGAACGCAGGCGGUCUUUUAAGUCUGAUGUGAAAGCCUUCGGCUUAACCGAAGUAGUGCAUUGGAAACUGGAAGACUUGAGUGCAGAAGAGGAGAGUGGAACUCCAUGUGUAGCGGUGAAAUGCGUAGAUAUAUGGAAGAACACCAGUGGCGAAAGCGGCUCUCUGGUCUGUAACUGACGCUGAGGUYCGAAAGCGUGGGUAGCAAACAGGAUUAGAUACCCUGGUAGUCCACGCCGUAAACGAUGAGUGCUAAGUGUUGGAGGGUUUCCGCCCUUCAGUGCUGCAGCUAACGCAUUAAGCACUCCGCCUGGGGAGUACGGUCGCAAGACUGAAACUCAAAGGAAUUGACGG